AGCGAUGCGGUGCGUCUGUUUCCUCGCUGUGCAGCCAUCCUCAAGUUCUGCGCCGCCUAGAGAUUCUGCUCCUCGGUUUGCCUCUAUAGGUUGAAUUAUGGCUCCUGGCUCCUCUCUGCCGCCCUCUCUUUUCUCUCUACUCAUUUCCCACUGAAGGAAAAUUUGUAUUUUGGCAAGAUCAUGAAAGAGAGAAAUAAAGGAUAACUACAUCCUCUCAAUGACACUUUCCUUCUCUAAUCCUUUGGGUCCUCCUCACUAAAGCUUCUUUUACAAGGACAAGCACAUG